UUGAUCCUGGCUCAGAAUCAACGCUGGCGGCGUGCCUAACACAUGCAAGUCGAACGAGAAAGUGGAGCAAUCCAUGAGUAAAGUGGCGACCGGGUGAGUUACACGUGACUAACCUACCUUCAAGUGGGGGAUAAUCUCGGGAAACCGGGUCUAAUACCGCAUAAAAUCUCCGGGAUGGAAAUCCUGUUGAUCAAAGGAGUAAUUCGCUGGAAGAGGGGGUCGCGGCUGAUUAGCUAGUUGGCGGGGUAAUGGCCCACCAAGGCUUUGAUCGGUAGCCGGCCUGAGAGGGCGCACGGCCAUACUGGAACUGAAACACGGUCCAGACUCCUACGGGAGGCAGCAGUGGGGAUUUUUGCGCAAUGGGGGAAACCCUGACGCAGCAACGCCGCGUGGAGGAUGUAGUCCCUUGGGACGUAAACUCCUUUCGACUGGGAAGAUAAUGACGGUACUAGUGGAAGAAGCCCCGGCUAACUUCGUGCCAGCAGCCGCGGUAAUAAGGU
rnacentral:rRNA from 1 species